AUUUUUGUGAAUGAAGGACAAAAUGCACAUUCAAUACCAUACAUUUUAUUACUGCUACACAAUAAACCAAAUGGGCUUGAAGGAAUUCACAAAAAUCGACAAAUAUGUAGCUUCUCCGGGGAUCCUGUAUUUUUUUUAUUAACAUCUAAAUCAAUGACAUGGGUCUAUCAAUGAAAUAUCUAAAUCAUUUACACUAGGAUUCCCAACUACCAUCUCUUUAUCUGGUAUGAGAAACCAUUUACUUCAGGUAAGUGUUUGUGUGUGUGUGUGUGUGUGUACCUAGUGUUGCUAUACAUGUGGGGACUAGAAUUCCCCCAAAUCCUGAAAACUGGGUUAUUUAGCCAUUCCCCACAAAGGAAAAUGUUAUUUCUGGCUUAAAGGGUAUGUUUAGGGUGAAAAAUAUUCAGGAUUAAAAUUUAAUUGAGGUUAGAUUUAGGUUUAGGCAUUAGGUGUUAAAGUUGGGUAUAGGCAUAAAGGUUAGGUUAUUAAGGUUAUGGUUGGAGUAAGGGUUAGAAAAACAAAGUUUUUUCUAUCUCACAAGGACAUACAAAACGUGUGUGUGUGUGUGUGUGUGUGUGUGUGUGUGUGUGUGUGUGUGUGUGUGUGUGUGUGAGUGAAAGAGAGAGAGAGAGAGCAGGAAAGGAACACUGAAAUUGCUGCUAUAAACGAAGAUAUGCCAUACCGGCUGGCACAGACAUUAAUUAACUGGAAUGGAGAUAUGCCGACUUUUGUAUUACAGUAGCCUACUUCUGUCUUUGUUUAGCCUACUCAGAAGAGAACAGCAAUCCAAAACCUACAACGACAGAAUACUCUUCUUUCCAGUCAACAACAACAGCAAAACAAAGAUGGCUGAGACUAUCUCACUGCGCAUGUGCGUAAAUGCGCAGGCAGCAUCAAUGGGAGGCCGCCAAGGAGAACGCGAGUGGAGAGGGGGAGAGUGAAGAGAGAACGAAGGAUAUGAAGAAAACAGUGAAGUAACUGGAUUAUCCUUGUAAUUUUGGUUAUUGGAUGUUAGAGAAAGUGACUCUUUUUAACAUUUAAACUACCAAUAAUUUUUGUGAAAUGUGAAUGUAUAGGCUAAAUAUUGUUGAAUUGUGGAUACGUUGCCAACCCUAUAACCUGUCACAUACAUCCAUAGUCCUAACAUCAGGUGCUUGCUUAUUAUUUGAGAUAUUUAUUCUGUCCGUCCAAAUAGCCCACUGGUCAGAAAACUGUAAAACCACGCCUCUCAACGUGACUCUUCAGCCGUAUGACUAAAAAGAGAACCAAAGAAUUCCACACACAAAAUGGCCAAGGCCUACACAUGUGUUUAUGAUUCUUUUCAGAUUUUCCCCUAACAGAAGCUCUUUCUCUCUUUUCUCCCGUCCAUUGUCAUGAUAAUUCAAUUGUGGAUUUCACGGUAAAAAAAAAAUAAAAAUACAAUCUGUCAGUCUCUGGAGGACCAGAAGCAACAUUCAAUAACCUGCGUCAUCACCAACCAUAUAAACCGUUUUUUUUAUUCCGUAAAGGUACGUCGAUUGUACGCUAUCGUUCAUGUUUGACAUAGGUAAUUAUUUCCCUUCUUGAGAACUUAAACCAAAGUAAUUAUUUAAUAGAAUCUGAAUUAGUACAAUGAUAGGCUUAUAAUGAUUUCGGAAUACCAUAUCAAAUAUAAGAUAAUAUACUACAACUGAUAUAAAUAUUUCAUAGUUCAUAUUUGUAUCAAUAAUAUGCUGUAGAUUAUCUGACAGCCUAAGCAUAUACAAUUCAGGAACAUUUAUAAUGCAUUAACUGUAUGAAUAAGAAUCAACAUACUGGAUUGGAUAUUUUCACCUUCAGUCCAUCUCUUCCCAAAUAGAUGAAGUUCCUAUGCAUUCAACUUUUGGAUGGUUGUUGUGAAAUAAGGCAAUACCAUAGGCUAAAACUGCUUUUUGAAAAGAUCCUAUGAGAAGUGCCCUGCAUUAAAUAUCCUUUCAAAGAUUACAUAGCAUUUGUUUGUAUAUUCGAAAUCCUUUGACGAUUCUAAGCUUUGAACUCCAGAUAAAAAAAUAUAUGAAACAAAAAUAUAUUUUUCAUUGCAUCGCAGGUUGCUAGAAUCAAAGAAAAAUAAAUAGGAUCUCAACUGAUAUCAUUUCCACACAUUACGUUAUUAAACAUUUUUAAAGACUGAACAGAAUGUUCUGUUUUAACAAAAAUCAAAGGCAAACCGAUUUAAAUUAUUUAUUCAAUACUGCUGCAGCCUACACAUUUCUGACUCCAAAUUUAAAUCCAUGUGUACUGACAUUACGAUCCCACUUCUCUGCAUCAAUGUUGUUACAGUAAAUCCAGGAGGAAAUAUAAUCCAUAAUUUCCAGAAUAAAAUGUAAUGCAUGAAGAAAUACUUUCUCUAGCCCUAUUAUCACGCAUUUUAGUUGAUAG
ensembl:lncRNA